rfam:Termitomyces sp. J132 unplaced genomic scaffold scaffold46, whole genome shotgun sequence.
CCGACCUUAGCUCAGUUGGUAGAGCGUGAGACUGUAAUAGGUUUACUAGCACUUGUAUCUCAAUGUCGCCUGUUCGAUCCAGGCAGGUCGGA